GUAAUGUCUGGGAAACUGCCUGAUGGAGGGGGAUAACUACUGGAAACGGUGGCUAAUACCGCAUAACGUCGCAAGACCAAAGAGGGGGACCUUCGGGCCUCUUGCCAUCAGAUGUGCCCAGAUGGGAUUAGCUUGUUGGUGAGGUAACGGCUCACCAAGGCGACGAUCCCUAGCUGGUCUGAGAGGAUGACCAGCCACACUGGAACUGAGACACGGUCCAGACUCCUACGGGAGGCAGCAGUGGGGAAUAUUGCACAAUGGGCGCAAGCCUGAUGCAGCCAUGCCGCGUGUAUGAAGAAGGCCUUCGGGUUGUAAAGUACUUUCAGCGGGGAGGAAGGUGUUGUGGUUAAUAACCACAGCAAUUGACGUUACCCGCAGAAGAAGCACCGGCUAACUCCGUGCCAGCAGCCGCGGUAAUACGGAGGGUGCAAGCGUUAAUCGGAAUUACUGGGCGUAAAGCGCACGCAGGCGGUCUGUCAAGUCGGAUGUGAAAUCCCCGGGCUCAACCUGGGAACUGCAUUCGAAACUGGCAGGCUUGAGUCUUGUAGAGGGGGGUAGAAUUCCAGGUGUAGCGGUGAAAUGCGUAGAGAUCUGGAGGAAUACCGGUGGCGAAGGCGGCCCCCUGGACAAAGACUGACGCUCAGGUGCGAAAGCGUGGGGAGCAAACAGGAUUAGAUACCCUGGUAGUCCACGCCGUAAACGAUGUCUACUUGGAGGUUGUGCCCUUGAGGCGUGGCUUCCGGAGCUAACGCGUUAAGUAGACCGCCUGGGGAGUACGGCCGCAAGGUUAAAACUCAAAUGAAUUGACGGGGGCCCGCACAAGCGGUGGAGCAUGUGGUUUAAUUCGAUGCAACGCGAAGAACCUUACCUGGUCUUGACAUCCACAGAACUUUCCAGAGAUGGAUUGGUGCCUUCGGGAACUGUGAGACAGGUGCUGCAUGGCUGUCGUCAGCUCGUGUUGUGAAAUGUUGGGUUAAGUCCCGCAACGAGCGCAACCCUUAUCCUUUGUUGCCAGCGGUUAGG
rnacentral:rRNA from 2 species